ACGGGAGGCAGCAGUGAGGAAUAUUGGACAAUGGAUGGAAGCCUGAUCCAGCCAUGCCGCGUGCGGGAAGGAGGCCCUAUGGAUUGUAAACCGCUUUUGCAGGGGAGCAAUAAGGGGUACGUGAACACCGAUGAGAGUACGUUGGGAAUAAGCAUCGGCUAACUCCGUGCCAGCAGCCGCGGUAAUACGGAGGAUGCGAGCGUUAUCCGGAUUUAUUGGGUUUAAAGGGUGCGUAGGUGGCAGAUUAAGUCAGUGGUGAAAUGUGGGCGCUCAACUGUCAAAGUGCCAUUGAUACUGGUCAGCUAGAAUGCGGUUGCUGUGGGCGGAAUGUGUGGUGUAGCGGUGAAAUGCAUAGAGAUCACACAGAACACCGAUUGCGAAGGCAGCUCACAAAGCCGUGAUUGACGCUGAGGCACGAAAGUGUGGGGAUCAAACAGGAUUAGAUACCCUGGUA
rnacentral:rRNA from 1 species